GGCAGCUGUUGGAGAGGGAUGGGUCAAGGGAUGGAGGGUAGCACUGUGAGCUGAAAUAGGUGAAUUGGGAGGGAUGCUGGCUAAAGGAGAGGAGGCAAGAAGAGAUUGAAGGGAAAUGUCAAGGGGCUCCAGAGAAUGCUACGAUGGUGCAAAGUCACAGAAGUCUUGGGAAAAGCAGGUAGAAUGGAGUUGCCAUGACAUUGAGCCUCAUCUAGAUGCCAGGUAGAUAACAUGCGUUAUCACAGCCCAAAGUGCAGUGGUGCGAUCCUGACUUACUGCAACCUCCACCUUCCAGGCUCAAGCAAUCUUCCUACCUCAGCCCCCCAAGUAUCUUUCCAGAUAUUGGCAGACCGCUGGCCUCCUGAGGAGCACAGGAAGGGGCCUGGCAGACUGGUGAUCCUGGUUGGAGAUGAAGAGGGGCUGAUUAAGAGGAGCUGACCGAGGCCUGGAAGUUUCCUGCCUGGGAGUGGUGAGCCUGUCAGAGCUGCACCUGGGCCUACCUGUACCUAGGAGAGAGUCAGGACAUGGUUGUCUUCCCGCAAACACCUGGGGCUCGAGGAGUGCGCUGCCUCUGUUCCACGCCUGAUGUCAUCCACAUCCACGCCCAUGCAUCUGGCCAGGAGA